rnacentral:tRNA from 1 species
GCGGUUGCGACUAGUAGGUAGAGCAGAGGCCUUCCAAGCCUAUGACCAGGGUUCGAUUCCCUGCACCCGCU